rnacentral:rRNA from 1 species
UACGUAGGGGGCAAGCGUUGUCCGGAUUUAUUGGGCGUAAAGAGCGUGUAGGCGGCCAGGUAGGUCCGUUGUGAAAACUCGAGGCUCAACCUCGAGCUGUCGGUGGAAACCGUAAGGCUAGAGUCCGGAAGAGGAGAGUGGAAUUCCUGGUGUAGCGGUGAAAUGCGCAGAUAUCAGGAAGAACACCCGUGGCGAAGGCGGCUCUCUGGGACGGUACUGACGCUGAGACGCGAAAGCGUGGGGAGCGAACAGG